AUGCCGAUUGCCGCCAGCCGCGACGCGAGUCGGGGGACUUGGGCCGUUGGUUUCCCGGAAUGGCCGGCCACCACACCACCGAGGCGAGGCGACUACUACUACUUGUCGGUCCUGGACCUUGACUCGCUCUCUCCUCUCGCCGUCUCGCGGCGGCGGCGGCUGCUGUCCGAGUGGCCGUGCGUCGCGUGGUGGAAAGCUGUGAGCGAACGCGGCGACUGCACGUACGGCACCACUUGCUUGUUUGUUCCCCAAGAGGUCACUGGCGGAAGCCCGCAAAGUAUUAGCCGGAUUCGGGUGGCGGCGCGGAUUCAGGCAGAUGGCGGCGCGGGCCCUCUUGCUCGCGUCGGCAAGGGCGACGGCGACGCUGGACCGACGGACAAUGGCGGUGGUCCUGCAUACUUCUCCGGCUUGCACUACAAGGCGCCACUGCCUCGACCAUCGGCGGGAGGCCACCGAUGCGGCGCCGUUGCCACGCCCUCGGUCACCGAUGAGGUUGCACCAUCGGCUCUCCUUGGCCACAUUGCUCCCCAACAGAGGAAAAGAGUAUGGAAGGUGGUGGGACCCACAGAUGGCAAGUGGAGUAGGCUGGCCAAGUUUGGCUAGUAAGGAAAGU
rnacentral:lncRNA from 1 species